AAUCAACACUUUUCACAACUUAGAAAAGAAUAGAGUCAAUUUAGGCAAAAAAAAUCCUUUUUUUUUUCUUUGCCCUCAAAAUAUUAAGAAAAACCCCCUUUCUUUUAUUUUGGAAAGAAAGAGAAACCUGUAGAGGGCUGGAGCUAUGCCUGCAAUCAAUGUCGGUUUUUUCUUCACAAGGGAUGUGCUGAGUUAGAGUUAGCCCCCAAGAUUCAGCAUCCCUUCCACCCCUUCCACCCUCUCACUCUUCUGCCAAAAUCACCUUAUUCUGGGGGCAUAACCGCGUGCAGUUUGUGUGGUAAGAAUUUUGAGGGAUUUGUUUAUAAUUGUUUUGAUUGUGAGUUCGAUCUGCACAUCACUUGUGCUUUGCUUCAAUCAUCCAUUGCUGCAAAUUUUCCUAAUUCUUUGCACCCCCAUCCUUUACACUUCAUUCAAAAUCAUAGCAAGGAAGUCGAGCCUGAUUGCCCGCGGUGUCGGAAACCAAUAUCUGGUCCAUUUUACCACUGUUCAGAUUGCACUUAUCAUAAAUUGUUUAACCUUCAUAAGGAGUGUGCUGAACUACCCCUUGAGAUUAAUCACCCCUGUGACCGUAAGCAUCCUCUUACUCUCUUGUCACAACCGCCUACUCAUCCCAAGAAAUGUAGUUGCUCUUUGUGCAGAAUCCAAUGGAAGAGGUUGAUUAACUGCUGACUAACGAAGAACAAACCAGGAAUCAACAACUCUAGUGUGAAUCAGGGAAGCAAGCAGGCGUGGGAAGCUAUCAGCUCUGGUAAACUUAAAUCCCACCGCCUCUUCUAUAGGCGCCAACAUAUGAAUAACUAUUCCUAAAACGAGGUCAGCCAUGCCAAUUCCAUUGAAAAGAGGCCUAAGCUAAGCUACCAAGCAAAGAGGAAGAAGAAGAGAUGGUUUCAGGGUGAGGCAUGUGCUCCAAAAGGGUAGCGGUGGAUGCAAGGCAUCGCAUGCUAGGAAGGUUGGCUUCCAUAUUGGCCAAGGAGUUGUUGAAUGGCCAAAAAGUAGUGGUGGUGAGAUGUGAAGAGAUAUGCAUGUGGGGUGGAUUGGUUAGCCAGAAGAUGAAUCUCAUGAGGUUUCUUAGGAAGCGAUGAUUCCUCGCAAAGACUAAGCACGGAGUGGCAGCUUUUGUUGGUUUGAAAUUGAAGGCUUAUGAGGGGAUUCCUGCACCAUAUGAUAAGACUAAGAGAAUGGUUAUCGAACAUGCUGAAUGCUUAGGACUUGGUUUGGAGCUUUAGGAGCUACUGAUGAAUAAGUUUAUGAAGACAUCAAAAGAGUUAUUUCAUUGGUUUGACAGUUCUAGGACUUGGUUGUCCUUUACUCAGAGCCAGAGCAGUAUAGGGAGUAGGGUCGAUCCCUCAGAGACUGGUUUACUGUAAAUUGUUGCUCUCUUGACCAGAUUUAUGUCGGGACAGCUGUCGUGCCCAAGAAAUUCGGGGGGAUAAAAUUUGAAGAACUGAAAUAAACAGAAAAAUAACGUAAAAAGUAAAAGUUUAAAACAGAAUAAUAAAAACAGUUAAAUAAAUAUGAAGAAAAUUUAAUUAGAAUAAGCUUAGCUUUAGUCACGAAUUUUCUUCAUCUUUGAACCGAUCCUCGAAAUUAGAUGAACUCCUCUUUUCCAAUAAGCUAGUUAUAGCUACCAAGGACGCCUCGGACACCAACUCUUCCUUGUGUAAAUUAGUUAUGGAACGUCCAAUAACUAACCCUUACCGAUCGAACAACCACGAAACGUUCGUGAUUUAGAACUCCGGCAGCUUUGCGUUCUAGAAGAGCCGAGCUCGAACCAAUGCCCUCAACCGCGUGGGACAUUUAAAUCCGGUUACUACUUCCCUUGACGGAACCAAAUAGCAAUCUCCACUUGGCACGCCAAUGUGUUCACAGAAAACCGAUUAGAAACGUUCGUUUCGGAAUUCUAACUGUACGUCCAAUCACACUAAAUCAAACGAUGUCUUUUUUUACUUAGUGUUGAUCUGACUUUGUGAGCUGACAAAAUCAUACUCUUAAUCCGGAGAAGUAAUAAGUACUGAAAUUUUAGGAGUUAAAUGGCUCGGGUUCGUAACUCACGGGUUUUGAAGAGGCUAAUUUCGGCCUAAAGCUGAAAAUGGGUUUAGUUGGCUAAGGUUUGGGGCAUGUUGGUAUUGGAAUAAUUAAAUAAGAUUGAAUAAAUGAAAAAAAAACAAAAAAAAAUGAAAGUGAGUGGUGAAGGUGACGCAAGGUUGGAUAUUAAUUGCUGACAAAAAAAGGAAAGAAAAGAUUGAAUUGCAAGAGAUAAAAGCUUAAUUUAAAAACGAAAUGAUUAAAAACUUGAUGGAAAAUUUUAGGAAAAGACUUGAUGAAAAACUUUAAAAAGAACUUGCUGCAAAACUUGAUAAAAAACUUGGUAAUUUAAAACUUGAUAAAAGAACUAGAUGAAAAAUACUUGAAGAAAGAAAAAACACUUAAUGAAAGACUUAAUUGAAAGCUUGAUUUAUGAAUUGAUUGAUCGAUGAACAAUGUAGCCUCUAUUUAUACUAGUGGCUUUACUAAAUUAUGAGCCAACUAGUCAUAGAAAAUUAAGGAAAAUAUUCCAUAAUAUAAAAAAUAUCCCAAAAUAAUCUCCCACUAAGUCAACAAUUUCAGCUAAUUAUUCUUGAAAAAAUUCUGCUUUGGCCCUCCUUCUUUGCUUCUUUCUUCAAUCUAGCCCAAUUUGUUUCCUUUUUCUUCUAUUCAGCCCCAAAUUGCAUUCCUGCACAAAAUUCAAUAGAUAUGGCAAAAUUAGUGGUGCAUUCUCAUAAAUUAACCAAUUUGAUUACAUAAAAUAUGUAACUUUAGCAUUUAAUCACACCUUUUCCCCUCUCUUUUUGUAACUGUAUUGUAGCUUUGGGUCAGUGGUUGGGCUAUGAAUUUAUGAAUAUCAAACUGCUGUGUCUGGUCAACAUUGCAGACUCCUCGAAUUGUCUCCUUACCGUCUGAGUUUUACAACCAACCAAGACAACACCGAACCAAACCUUCCGCAUACCGAAGAAAAACAUUCCUUGCAAUAAAAUUAAAACUGAUACGAAAACCACAACAUCCAUAGGGAAGCAUCAAAACACCUAAAAAAGAUAACCACAAUGACACUUGCGUACACCACAGCUCAUGACACAAAUCGAAAAAGAGAUCAACUUCAAGACAUCAUCUCAUGUUAUCAAUUUGUGAGCAUCUCUUAGAAACUAAAUAAACACCAUAAAAGAAGCAUCCAACAAAUUGGCAGCAAUGCAGUAACAGCAAACCUAUUGCCUCCGUGAGUCUUUAAUUACAACCCCAAAUAUCAUAUACCAAAACAAGGAGCAACAUCAAAACCUUCAUAAUUAAACACUCUUGAAAAGUUGCCUACACACCCUCUUUACUGAUCCUUAGGUUAAAACAUGUUCUUAUCACCCCUAAACACCACCAGUCAAAAUCAUAUCUUACUCGAGUUGAAAAAAAACCUCCUAGUUGAAGAGAAGACAAUUGAAAACAUCAUUAACCCACCAACCCUUAUCCAACAUCGAUCAAGAGGACACUGAACAUGAUUCCAUAAUAAGCUUGUUAAAAUCCCUCAAGAAAGGAAAGCUGGAUCAGCAGCAUUCAACAGUGUUCCUCAUCAGUUAUGGCCGUCGAUGAUGAACCUCAGCCCCCUCAGCCUUUUGAGUUCGCUUGGAUUUCGUUUCGAUGAUAGUUUUUAAAGACGACUUGUGUUUCGUCACAUUCUUUAGUUCAAGAGUUCUCUACUAAUCAGUUACAUUCUUUCUAAUGUUCUUUCUAUUUGUACGGACAAUCUUGUCAUAUACAUGCUCAACCGUUAGGGAAUUCGAUUUUGUUGCCCAAUUUCUUUUUGUUGAUGCUUUGCUCUCAAUUCUUUUCACAUUAUUUCAAAUCAUAUAUAUAGGUUACAACUGCGUGGCAUAGCUUUUAAAUCAUUAUGUCACGAUAAUAAUAUUUCACAUGUUGAUUAUUUUG